rnacentral:rRNA from 1 species
UUCGCCCUUAGAGUUUGAUCCUGGCUCAGAGCGAACGCUGGCGGCAGGCUUAACACAUGCAAGUCGAGCGGGCGUAGCAAUACGUCAGCGGCAGACGGGUGAGUAACGCGUGGGAACGUACCUUUUGGUUCGGAACAACACAGGGAAACUUGUGCUAAUACCGGAUAAGCCCUUACGGGGAAAGAUUUAUCGCCGAAAGAUCGGCCCGCGUCUGAUUAGCUAGUUGGUGAGGUAACGGCUCACCAAGGCGACGAUCAGUAGCUGGUCUGAGAGGAUGAUCAGCCACAUUGGGACUGAGACACGGCCCAAACUCCUACGGGAGGCAGCAGUGGGGAAUAUUGGACAAUGGGGGCAACCCUGAUCCUGCCAUGCCGCGUGAGUGAUGAAGGCCCUAGGGUUGUAAAGCUCUUUUGUGCGGGAAGAUAAUGACGGUACCGCAAGAAUAAGCCCCGGCUAACUUCGUGCCAGCAGCCGCGGUAAUACGAAGGGGGCUAGCGUUGCUCGGAAUCACUGGGCGUAAAGGGUGCGUAGGCGGAUCUUUAAGUCAGAGGUGAAAGCCUGGAGCUCAACUCCAGAACUGCCUUUGAUACUGGGGAUCUUGAGUUCGGGAGAGGUGAGUGGAACUGCGAGUGUAGAGGUGAAAUUCGUAGAUAUUCGCAAGAACACCAGUGGCGAAGGCGGCUCACUGGCCCGAUACUGACGCUGAGGCACGAAAGCGUGGGGAGCAAACAGGAUUAGAUACCCUGGUAGUCCACGCCGUAAAC